AUGAACGCUGGCGGCGUGCCUAACACGUGCAAGUCGAACGAAGCAUCGCGCCCGAGGAAAUGGAGUGCUUGCACGAGAUGGAAUCAAUUGUGAUGACUUAGUGGCGGACGGGUGAGUAACGCGUGGGUAACCUACCCUAUACAGGGGGAUAACAGUUAGAAAUGACUGCUAAUACCGCAUAAGCGCACACUGUUGCAUGACAGAGUGUGAAAAGCCGAGACGGUAUAGGAUGGACCCGCGUCUGAUUAGCCAGUUGGCAGGGUAACGGCCUACCAAAGCAACGAUCAGUAGCCGGCCUGAGAGGGUGAACGGCCACAUUGGGACUGAGACACGGCCCAAACUCCUACGGGAGGCAGCAGUGGGGGAUAUUGCACAAUGGGGGAAACCCUGAUGCAAGCGACGCCGCGUGAGUGAAGAAGUAUUUCGGUAUGUAAAGCUCUAUCAGCAGGGAAGAAAAUGACGGUACCUGACUAAGAAGCUCCGGCUAAAUACGUGCCAGCCGCAGC
rnacentral:rRNA from 1 species